UACGAAGGGGGCUAGCGUUGCUCGGAAUCACUGGGCGUAAAGGGUGCGUAGGCGGGUCUUUAAGUCAGGGGUGAAAUCCUGGAGCUCAACUCCAGAACUGCCUUUGAUACUGAGGAUCUUGAGUUCGGGAGAGGUGAGUGGAACUGCGAGUGUAGAGGUGAAAUUCGUAGAUAUUCGCAAGAACACCAGUGGCGAAGGCGGCUCACUGGCCCGAUACUGACGCUGAGGCACGAAAAGCG
rnacentral:rRNA from 1 species